rnacentral:rRNA from 1 species
UACGUAGGGGGCAAGCGUUGUUCGGAUUUACUGGGCGUAAAGGGCGCGAAGGCGGCGUGACAAGUCACUUGUGAAAUCUCCGGGCUUAACUCGGAACUGCCAAGUGAUACUGUCGUGCUAGAGUGCAGAAAGGGCAAUCGGAAUUCUUGGUGUAGCGGUGAAAUGCGUAGAUAUCAAGAGGAACACCUGAGGCGAAGGCGGGUUGCUAGGCUGACACUGACGCUGAGGCGCGAAAGCUAGGGGAGCAAACGGG